GGUGGUUCUUGAGUGACGCACCCCAGAAUCAGGCUUCCUCCUCUCUGGUUCCAGGUUUGUCACCCGAGAACCAUC
rfam:Myotis davidii contig174757, whole genome shotgun sequence.